rnacentral:lncRNA from 1 species
GAUAGAUAAACAGCCCCGGUUAUCCUUAAGAGCAUAAUGUGAUUGAAGGUUCACUUUUCAGAAAGAUCCAGACUGGUGAGAAUGCAGGUAGGAAGAUGAACUCUUUGUGAAGGACAACUUUGAACAAUGGCUCUGGACAGAUGGCAGUUUUGGGGAAGUUAACCUGGUUGCAGCAAUUGGGGACAGCUUUCCAAGGAGUAAUAUUUGAAAUGAAUGAACUGAACGGAACUAAGAGCUGAAGAAUGAAUCUGUAAGUACCAGGUAAGUUAUAGAACAGGGGCUUCAGGCUCCGGAAUGACUUGUGCAAAUAUGUAGCCU